rnacentral:rRNA from 1 species
AGCGGCGGACGGGUGAGUAACACGUGGGCAACCUACCUAUAAGACUGGGAUAACUUCGGGAAACCGGAGCUAAUACCGGAUAAUAUAAGAGAUUACAUGAUCUUUUAUUGAAAGAUGGCUUCGGCUAUCACUUAUAGAUGGGCCCGCGGCGCAUUAGCUAGUUGGUGAGGUAACGGCUCACCAAGGCGACGAUGCGUAGCCGACCUGAGAGGGUGAUCGGCCACACUGGGACUGAGACACGGCCCAGACUCCUACGGGAGGCAGCAGUAGGGAAUCUUCCGCAAUGGACGAAAGUCUGACGGAGCAACGCCGCGUGAGUGAUGAAGGCCUUCGGGUCGUAAAACUCUGUUGUUAGGGAAGAACAAGUACCGUUCGAAUAGGGCGGUACCUUGACGGUACCUAACCAGAAAGCCACGGCUAACUACGUGCCAGCAGCCGCGGUAAUACGUAGUGGCAAGCGUUGUCCGGAAUUAUUGGGCGUAAAGCGCGCGCAGGUGGUCCUUUAAGUCUGAUGUGAAAGCCCACGGCUCACCCGUGGAGGGUCAUUGGAAACUGGGGGACUUGAGUACAGAAGAGGAAAGU